AGUUCGGAUUGUAGUCUGCAACUCGACUACAUGAAGCUGGAAUCGCUAGUAAUCGCAGAUCAGAAUGCUGCGGUGAAUACGUUCCCGGGUCUUGUACACACCGCCCGUCACACCAUGGGAGCCGGAAAUGCCCGAAGCCUGUGACCCAACCUUUAUAGGAGGGAGCAGCCUAAGGCGGGGCCGGUAACUGGGGUGAAGUCGUAACAAGGUACC
rnacentral:rRNA from 1 species